ensembl:lncRNA
CAAGAACAGGUGUGCUAGCGGGCAUUUUGAACUGAUAUUUCGUUUCAGCUAGCAAGAAAACCAAGUUGGAAUAACUGCUCUCUGCCACCUCAUGAAGCCGUUACCUCAACAUGGAGUUGAUUCUUGGACUAAAUUGAGCAGAAAACCUGAAGAAGUGCUGCUGUUUGGUCUGGUUUGUUUUUGCUGCUUGUUGGAUGGAGGUCCAGUUAGCUGAAGAUACAUGAGAUAUCACUAAACACAGAGGCACCACAGCGGGGCAGCAGGAGGACACAGGAUCCAGGGGAGGAGGUGCAGCUCGAUGUCUGGCCUUGUCUAAGACAAAUUUCUCCUACGGGAGACAAUGAAGUGAACUUGAACUUGAUGUUUGUCACAAUGGAUGGAUGGGUUCACAGAAGUGUCUAUCAACAGUCCUUUCUUCUAACUAUGACCAAUAUUAAGUGAUUAUUACUGCAACAAGCAGUCCUCUAACCUGGACCUAACUUCCAGUGCUGUCGCAGACGGCUG